rnacentral:rRNA from 1 species
GGGUUGUGAGGUUAAGCGACUAAGCGUACACGGUGGAUGCCCUGGCAGUCAGAGGCGAUGAAGGACGUGCUAAUCUGCGAUAAGCGUCGGUAAGGUGAUAUGAACCGUUAUAACCGGCGAUUUCCGAAUGGGGAAACCCAGUGUGUUUCGACACACUAUCAUUAACUGAAUCCAUAGGUUAAUGAGGCGAACCGGGGGAACUGAAACAUCUAAGUACCCCGAGGAAAAGAAAUCAACCGAGAUUCCCCCAGUAGCGGCGAGCGAACGGGGAGCAGCCCAGAGCCUGAAUCAGUGUGUGUGUUAGUGGAAGCGUCUGGAAAGGCGCGCGAUACAGGGUGACAGCCCCGUACACAAAAAUGCACAUGCUGUGAGCUCGAUGAGUAGGGCGGGACACGUGGUAUCCUGUCUGAAUAUGGGGGGACCAUCCUCCAAGGCUAAAUACUCCUGACUGACCGAUAGUGAACCAGUACCGUGAGGGAAAGGCGAAAAGAACCCCGGCGAGGGGAGUGAAAAAGAACCUGAAACCGUGUACGUACAAGCAGUGGGAGCACGCUUAGGCGUGUGACUGCGUACCUUUUGUAUAAUGGGUCAGCGACUUAUAUUCUGUAGCAAGGUUAACCGAAUAGGGGAGCCGAAGGGAAACCGAGUCUUAACUGGGCGUUAAGUUGCAGGGUAUAGACCCGAAACCCGGUGAUCUAGCCAUGGGCAGGUUGAAGGUUGGGUAACACUAACUGGAGGACCGAACCGACUAAUGUUGAAAAAUUAGCGGAUGACUUGUGGCUGGGGGUGAAAGGCCAAUCAAACCGGGAGAUAGCUGGUUCUCCCCGAAAGCUAUUUAGGUAGCGCCUCGUGAAUUCAUCUCCGGGGGUAGAGCACUGUUUCGGCAAGGGGGUCAUCCCGACUUACCAACCCGAUGCAAACUGCGAAUACCGGAGAAUGUUAUCACGGGAGACACACGGCGGGUGCUAACGUCCGUCGUGAAGAGGGAAACAACCCAGACCGCCAGCUAAGGUCCCAAAGUCAUGGUUAAGUGGGAAACGAUGUGGGAAGGCCCAGACAGCCAGGAUGUUGGCUUAGAAGCAGCCAUCAUUUAAAGAAAGCGUAAUAGCUCACUGGUCGAGUCGGCCUGCGCGGAAGAUGUAACGGGGCUAAACCAUGCACCGAAGCUGCGGCAGCGACGCUGAUGCGUUGUUGGGUAGGGGAGCGUUCUGUAAGCCUGCGAAGGUGUGCUGUGAGGCAUGCUGGAGGUAUCAGAAGUGCGAAUGCUGACAUAAGUAACGAUAAAGCGGGUGAAAAGCCCGCUCGCCGGAAGACCAAGGGUUCCUGUCCAACGUUAAUCGGGGCAGGGUGAGUCGACCCCUAAGGCGAGGCCGAAAGGCGUAGUCGAUGGGAAACAGGUUAAUAUUCCUGUACUUGGUGUUACUGCGAAGGGGGGACGGAGAAGGCUAUGUUGGCCGGGCGACGGUUGUCCCGGUUUAAGCGUGUAGGCUGGUUUUCCAGGCAAAUCCGGAAAAUCAAGGCUGAGGCGUGAUGACGAGGUACUACGGUGCUGAAGCAACAAAUGCCCUGCUUCCAGGAAAAGCCUCUAAGCAUCAGGUAACAUCAAAUCGUACCCCAAACCGACACAGGUGGUCAGGUAGAGAAUACCAAGGCGCUUGAGAGAACUCGGGUGAAGGAACUAGGCAAAAUGGUGCCGUAACUUCGGGAGAAGGCACGCUGAUAUGUAGGUGAAGUCCCUUGCGGAUGGAGCUGAAAUCAGUCGAAGAUACCAGCUGGCUGCAACUGUUUAUUAAAAACACAGCACUGUGCAAACACGAAAGUGGACGUAUACGGUGUGACGCCUGCCCGGUGCCGGAAGGUUAAUUGAUGGGGUCAGCGCAAGCGAAGCUCUUGAUCGAAGCCCCGGUAAACGGCGGCCGUAACUAUAACGGUCCUAAGGUAGCGAAAUUCCUUGUCGGGUAAGUUCCGACCUGCACGAAUGGCGUAAUGAUGGCCAGGCUGUCUCCACCCGAGACUCAGUGAAAUUGAACUCGCUGUGAAGAUGCAGUGUACCCGCGGCAAGACGGAAAGACCCCGUGAACCUUUACUAUAGCUUGACACUGAACAUUGAGCCUUGAUGUGUAGGAUAGGUGGGAGGCUUGGAAGUGUGGACGCCAGUCUGCAUGGAGCCGACCUUGAAAUACCACCCUUUAAUGUUUGAUGUUCUAACGUUGACCCGUAAUCCGGGUUGCGGACAGUGUCUGGUGGGUAGUUUGACUGGGGCGGUCUCCUCCUAAAGAGUAACGGAGGAGCACGAAGGUUGGCUAAUCCUGGUCGGACAUCAGGAGGUUAGUGCAAUGGCAUAAGCCAGCUUGACUGCGAGCGUGACGGCGCGAGCAGGUGCGAAAGCAGGUCAUAGUGAUCCGGUGGUUCUGAAUGGAAGGGCCAUCGCUCAACGGAUAAAAGGUACUCCGGGGAUAACAGGCUGAUACCGCCCAAGAGUUCAUAUCGACGGCGGUGUUUGGCACCUCGAUGUCGGCUCAUCACAUCCUGGGGCUGAAGUAGGUCCCAAGGGUAUGGCUGUUCGCCAUUUAAAGUGGUACGCGAGCUGGGUUUAGAACGUCGUGAGACAGUUCGGUCCCUAUCUGCCGUGGGCGCUGGAGAACUGAGGGGGGCUGCUCCUAGUACGAGAGGACCGGAGUGGACGCAUCACUGGUGUUCGGGUUGUCAUGCCAAUGGCACUGCCCGGUAGCUAAAUGCGGAAGAGAUAAGUGCUGAAAGCAUCUAAGCACGAAACUUGCCCCGAGAUGAGUUCUCCCUGACUCCUUGAGAGUCCUGAAGGAACGUUGAAGACGACGACGUUGAUAGGCCGGGUGUGUAAGCGCAGCGAUGCGUUGAGCUAACCGGUACUAAUGAACCGUGAGGCUUAACCUUACAACGCCGAAGGUGUUU